rnacentral:misc_RNA from 1 species
GAUGAAGAACGCAGCGAAAUGCGAUAAGUAAUGUGAAUUGCAGAAUUCAGUGAAUCAUCGAAUCUUUGAACGCACAUUGCGCCCAUUAGUAUUCUAGUGGGCAUGCCUGUUCGAGCGUCAUUAAGUCCACUUAAGCCUAGCUUAGUGUUGGGAGACUGCUCCAGUGGUGCUACCCUGUAGCUACCCUGCAGCUCCUUAAAGACAGCGGCGGAGUCGUGUUAUCCUCUGAGCUUAGUAAAUCAUUCUAGCUUUCGAGAGUAUCACUUCACCUGCCGUUAAACCACCUAAUUUUUAUGGUUGACCUCGGAUCAGGUAGGAAUACCCGCUGAACUUAAGCAUAUCAAUAGCGGAGGA